ACAGGCCCUGAGAACUCUGUAGACAGGAGGGUGGGUGGGGGCACAGUGAAUUUAUUCAAUUCAGGACGCUGUAUUCGCCUAGCUCAACACAAGCCUUUUAAGAGCCCAAGUCACAUAAUUUUCAGCAGCCAGACCCAACCGUCACACAGGAAUCGGUGACCACACUCAAGUGCAUCCGGCCCCAGGACAACUGUUGAGCCCUGCAGACUAAGCAGAGACCUAAUGAUUUGAAUAAUGCUUCAAACUGGGGCAUAUUCUGGACUUCCAAAUUUCUUUUUAGGUAAAAAAAAUUUUCCUUACCGUCAUUUGUGACAAAGAUCCUAGUGACUGCUGUUUGUUUAUCCUGCGAGUGUAAAGAGGAUGCUGCACCUCCUAACUUGGAGAGAUGUGUUUUCUACUUUUCUCCAGCAGUGGGGAAGUGUUUGUACUAAGCCAUUAUUUUUCCUUGUCCCUCUUGUGGCCAACAGGCUACACUGAUAAACAGGCUGUAAAAGCAAAGAGAGACCUCAGCAGUGACAACAACUGAACAAAAGUAAUGAGGCCAAAAUUAAGAGGAGUCAAUGGCACCUCACUCCAGUACUUUGCCUGGAAAAUCCCAUGGAUGGAGGAGCCUGGUGGGCUGCAGUCCAUGGCGGUCGCUAAGAGUUCGACACCACUGAGCGACUUCACUUUCACUUUUCACUUUCCUGCAUUGGAGAAGGAAAUAGCAACCCACUCCAGUGUUCUUGCCUGGAGAAUCCCAGGGACGGGGGAGCCUGGUGGCUGCCGUCUACGGGGUCACACAGAGUCAGACAUGACUGAAGUGACUUAGCAGCAGCAGCAUGAUUGUAAAAGCUUUGCUGUCUUAAGUGUUGGUCAGCUGACAUAUUUGCUUAAAUCCAGCAAUUUCUGCAGGUAGAAUUCUAGAGCAUGCCAUGAAACAUCAAAGCCGAAAGGAAUAUAGUCAUGAAACAAGCCUCAAAUACGACUGUUCUGUGUUUUCUAUGUAAAUGUAGAGCCAUGAGCACAUAUUAAUUUAUUAAACUAUGAAA
ensembl:lncRNA